UUGAUGUUGCCACACGAGAAAUGAGUAUCUGAAGCUGUAAAGAUACUCUUAUUAUUGCAUCAUGGAAUGUAUGAAGUAUGAACCAGGACAAGGAACCAGAGGAAAUGUGGAUGGAGAUUAAAAAUGCCAUCAAGGAAGAAAGUGACACAAUAUUAUAAAAGGAUAGAAAGAAGAAAAUGCCAAAAUGGAUGUCAAACAUAACUCGGAAAGUAGCCAAGAAAGGGAAGUAAGCAAAACAUCAGAGAACAAAAUAACCUGGUUAAUGAACUGAACUGAGAAAUCCAGCGUUCUACCACGAAGGACAAACAGGAAUAUUAUAACAGCAUAUGGAAAGAAAUGGAAGUCAGUGACAAAAUGGGCAGACAAGAGCACUAUUUCAGAAGAUUAAGGAAAUUAAGGGAAUGUGUCGUCCUCGGAUUGACUUUGUCAAAAUAAAGAUUAAUUUAUGCUCCAA